rnacentral:rRNA from 1 species
AAUUAAGCAUAUCAAUAAGCGGAGGAAAAGAAACCAACAGGGAUUCCCUUAGUAACGGCGAGCGAAAAGGGAUGAGCCCAGCAUGUAAAUCUCCGGUUUCCGGCGAAUUGUAGUCUGGAGUAGCAACUCCUGGUGCCGUGCCGGCCCAAGCAUCUUGGAAUAGAUCGCCUCAGAGGGUGAGAGCCCCGUAGGUCGGUACGAGCUCCUACACGGAGUGCUCACGCAGAGUCGGGUUGUUUGGGAAUGCAGCCCCAAUUGGGUGGUAAACCCCAUCUAAGGCUAAAUACCUGUGGGAGACCGAUAGCAAAAAAGUACCUCGAGGGAACGAUGAAAAGACCGCUGGCAAGCGAGUGAAAGAGUGCAUGAAAUUGUAUAGUGGGAAGGGAUGGCCUGGCGUAUUGCCCGCGGGUAUACACUGCUCCUUGAGCUCUUGAAUACACCGUGGGCUGGCUGGUGCCGACACCUGCGCUUGCAAAUCCCCAAACUAAGGUGUUUGGCUCUUCAAGCGCGGGUGUUGAGGUUGAUCGUCGCUUUGUUUUAAACUGCGUCGACAAAGCACCAGCUGAAGCCUGUCCAUCUACCCGUCUUGAAAACACGGAAA